rnacentral:lncRNA from 1 species
AGAACAAAAUACCACCCAAAAGGUUUUCCCGUAGAUCACUAGUUUGGGUCAGUUGGUUGGGCCUUUAGGCACUGCUCUAAUGAACCUGAGGAUGCCUGAGCAGCAACAGCGCUUACAUAAACUUAGAAAUCUUAAGACCCAAGUGAUGAACCUCUGCGUCCUCUCGGUCGGUAAGCAAACGGGGCAAGCUGGACACCGCACUCUUAAGAUCAGUUUCCAAGUUCUCCUCUACUUUCAACAUGGGACACCCACAUUUGACACAGUUUGCCUGAUACCUGAGGUGGUGGCUUCACAUGCAGACCUAUGGACAUCCCCCAGAAUAUCCUCGGAAGAGUCUAGAAGCCAAUCAAAUUUCCAGCCUUCCACAGGGCAAAAGAGAAAAACUUUUCCCUGCUCUGGGUCACAAGCUACAGUUACUAAC